rnacentral:misc_RNA from 1 species
GAUGAAGAACGCAGCGAAAUGCGAUAAGUAAUGUGAAUUGCAGAACUCAGUGAAUCAUCGAAUCUUUGAACGCACAUUGCGCCCCCUGGUAUUCCGGGGGGCAUGCCUGUUCGAGCGUCAUUUCACCACUCAAGCCUCGCUUGGUAUUGGGCAUCGCGGUCCGCCGCGCGCCUCAAAUCGACCGGCUGGGUCUUCUGUCCCCUAAGCGUUGUGGAAACUAUUCGCUAAAGGGUGUUCGGGAGGCUACGCCGUAAAACAACCCCAUUUCUAAGGUUGACCUCGGAUCAGGUAGGGAUACCCGCUGAACUUAAGCAUAUCAAUAAGCGGAGGA